rnacentral:rRNA from 1 species
GGGGAUAACACUUGGAAACAGGUGCUAAUACCGUAUAACACUAUUUUCCGCAUGGAAGAAAGUUGAAAGGCGCUUUUGCGUCACUGAUGGAUGGACCCGCGGUGCAUUAGCUAGUUGGUGAGGUAACGGCUCACCAAGGCCACGAUGCAUAGCCGACCUGAGAGGGUGAUCGGCCACACUGGGACUGAGACACGGCCCAGACUCCUACGGGAGGCAGCAGUAGGGAAUCUUCGGCAAUGGACGAAAGUCUGACCGGGCAACGCCGCGUGAGUGAAGAAGGUUUUCGGAUCGUAAAACUCUGUUGUUAGAGAAGAACAAGGAUGAGAGUAGAACGUUCAUCCCUUGACGGUAUCUAACCAGAAAGCCACGGCUAACUACGUGCCAGCAGCCGCGGUAAUACGUAGGUGGCAAGCGUUGUCCGGAUUUAUUGGGCGUAAAGCGAGCGCAGGCGGUUUCUUAAGUCUGAUGUGAAAGCCCCCGGCUCAACCGGGGAGGGUCAUUGGAAACUGGGAGACUUGAGUGCAGAAGAGGAGAGUGGAGUUCCAUGUGUAGCGGUGAAAUGCGUAGAUAUAUGGAGGAACACCAGUGGCGAAGGCGGCUCUCUGGUCUGUAACUGACGCUGAGGCUCGAAAGCGUGGGGAGCGAACAGGAUUAGAUACCCUGGUAGUCCACGCCGUAAACGAUGAGUGCUGAGUGUUGGAGGGUUUCCGCCCUUCAGUGCUGCAG